AUGGCUGCGCAAUCUUGGAACCCUUUCUCUUGCUGCGUCCGCGGGGCAGCCGUGGACGGCGACGACCACUGCGAGUCGCGGAGGGGGAAUAAGGGCAGCCCGAGGUCGCCGCUGAAGAACCUGAGCUCGUCGGGGACGCUGUCACCGGAGGAGCUGUCGCUGACGCUGUCCGGCUCGAACCUGCACGCCUUCACCUACGCCGAGCUCCGAGCGGCGACGGCGAGCUUCUCGCGCGCCAACUACCUCGGCUGCGGCGGCUUCGGCCCGGUCUACAAGGGGGCCGUCGACGACAAGCUCCGCCCCGGGCUGGCCGCGCAGCCCGUCGCCGUCAAGUACCUCGACCUGGAGUGCGGCACGCAGGGACACCAAGAGUGGCUGGCAGAGGUUUUCUUCCUUGGGCAACUGAGGCACAAGAACCUGGUGAAAUUGAUCGGGUACUGCUACGAGGACGAGCAUCGAAUGCUGGUGUACGAGUUCAUGAGCGCCGGGAGCUUGGAGAAGCACCUCUUCAAAAGUACCAAUGGUUCUCUCCCAUGGAUGACAAGGAUGAAGAUCGCCGUCGGCGCGGCAAAGGGCCUCGCCUUCCUCCAUGGUGCCGACCCGCCGGUGAUCUACCGCGACUUCAAAGCCUCCAACAUCUUGCUCGACUCGGACUACAACACUAAAUUGUCAGACUUUGGGCUGGCCAAGGAUGGGCCUCAAGGCGACGCAACACACGUGACAACACGUGUAAUGGGGACACACGGGUAUGCAGCGCCCGAGUAUAUCAUGACGGGCCACUUAACCGCCAAAAGCGACGUCUACAGCUUCGGUGUUGUGCUCCUGGAGCUACUCUCAGGACGACAAUCCGUGGACCGUGCACGACGACCAAGGGAACAAAACCUAGUGGACUGGGCUAGGCCCUAUCUCAAACGGUCGGACAAACUGCACCAGGUGAUCGACUCAGCCCUCGAGUGUCAGUACUCGUGCAAGGGUGCUGAAGUGGCUGCGCUGGUGACAUACAAGUGUUUGAGCCAAAACCCCAAGUCCCGACCAUCCAUGCGUGAGGUCGUCAAGGCAUUGGAGCCUGUACUCGACAUGGAUGACUUUUUUCCAGCGGGACCGUUCGUGCUCACCAUCGUUGUCGAGGAUGACAAGGUGAUGGACAUGAAGGUGGAGACUGAGGAGAAGCACCAAAGCCAUCACCAGAACCAUCAGGAUAGGCACCGACAUAAGUACCCCGAAUCAGCGAUCCACGGUGACAUUGUGAUCCAUGGAGACAACAGACAGGUUGCCGGGUUCACCGGUGCGUUGCGGCGACAACAGAGGACGUUGAGUUACCACCGGGAAAGAGGGGCUUAA
rnacentral:rRNA from 1 species